rnacentral:rRNA from 1 species
CCGGUGACAAACAGGUGGAAGGUGAGGAUUACCUCAAGUCAUCAUGCCCCUUAUGACCUGGGCUACACACGUGCUACAAUGGGCAGUACAACGAGAAGCGAGCCUGCGAAGGCAAGCGAAUCUCUGAAAGCUGUUCUCAGUUCGGACUGCAGUCUGCAACUCGACUGCACGAAGCUGGAAUCGCUAGU